AUGUUGCGCAAGGGACUUAAACCUACAACUUUUAAUUACAACGUCAUACUGGAUGGAUUAUUUCUGGCUGGACGAACUGUUGCUGCAAAGGAAAAGUUUGAUGAGAUGGUUGAAUCUGGAGUAAGUGUGUGCAUUGAUACAUAUUCGAUAGUUCUUGGUGGACUUUGUAGAAAUAAUUGUAGCGGCGAAGCAAUCACGCUAUUCCAGAAAUUAAGCACAAUGGAUGUGAAAUUCAAUAUUAUAAUUGUCAAUAUAAUGAUUGAUGCCUUCUACAGGGUUCAGCGAAACCAAGAAGCCAAGGAUUUGUUUGCUGCAGUAUCAGCCAAUGGUUUGGUAGCUAAUGUCUUUACCUACACCAUAAUGAUGAAAAAUCUUAUAAAAGAAGGGUCAGUGGAAGAAGCUGACGAUCUCUUUUUAUCAAUGGAGAAGAGCGGCUGUACUGCUGACUCUUAUAUGUUAAAUCUUAUUGUCAGAAUGUUACUGGAAAAAGGAGAGCUAGUCAAGGCUGGGAAUUAUAUGUCUAAAGUUGAUGCAAAGAGCUACUCACUUGAAGCUGAAACCGUUUCGCUGCUUAUCUCUCUCUUUUCAGGGAAAGGGAAAUAUAGAGAACACAUAGGAUUGCUCCCUACAAAGUAUCGGUUUCGUGAAGAAGCAGCCACAGUU
rnacentral:rRNA from 1 species